UACACUUUAAAUCCUUUAACGAGGAUCUAUUGGAGGGCAAGUCUGGUGCCAGCAGCCGCGGUAAUUCCAGCUCCAAUAGCGUAUAUUAAAGUUGUUGCGGUUAAAAAGCUCGUAGUUGGAUCUCGGUUUCACUCAGGUGGUACACCUUGCGGUGUUCACUAUCUGGGUGGACGUUUCUGUUGGUUCGCUCUUGGUGCUCUUCAUCGGGUGCCAUUUGGUGGCCAGCACGUUUACUUUGAAAAAAUUGGAGUGCUCAAAGCAGGCGUUACAGCCUGAACAUUAGUGCAUGGAAUAAUGGAAAAGGAUCUCGAUUCUAUUUCGUUGGCUUUCGGAGUCGAGGUAAUGAUUAAUAGGGACAGACGGGGGCAUUCGUACUGCGACGUUAGAGGUGAAAUUCUUGGAUCGUCGCAAGACGAACUACUGCGAAAGCAUUUGCCAAGAAUGUUUUCAUUAAUCAAGAACGAAAGUUAGAGGUUCGAAGGCGAUCAGAUACCGCCCUAGUUCUAACCAUAAACGAUGCCAACCGGCGAUCCGUCGUCGUUAAUUGAAUGACUCGACGGGCAGCCUCCGGGAAACCAGAGUGUUUGGGUUCCGGGGGAAGUAUGGUUGCAAAGCUGAAACUUAAAGGAAUUGACGGAAGGGCACCACCAGGAGUGGAGCCUGCGGCUUAAUUGACCCAACACGGGAAAUCUCACCAGGCCCGGACACCGGAAGGAUUGACAGAUUGAGAGCUCUUUCUUGAUUCGGUGGGUGGUGGUGCAUGGCCGUUCUUAGUUGGUGGAGCGAUUUGUCUGGUUAAUUCCGAUAACGAACGAGACUCUGGCCUACUAACUAGAAGGUCUAUCCUUUAUGGGUAGGCCUCUGCUUCUUAGAGGGACGGGCGGCGUUUAGCCGCACGAGAAUGAGCAAUAACAGGUCUGUGAUGCCCUUAGAUGCUCUGGGCUGCACGCGCGCUACACUGAAGGAAUCAGCAUGUUCUCCCCUCCCUGAAAUGGGCGGGUAACCCGUUGAAACUCCUUCGUGAUGGGGAUUGGAGAUUGUAAUUAUUCUCCAUGAACGAGGAAUUCCCAGUAGGCGCGAGUCAUCAGCUUGCGUCGAUUACGUCCCUGCCCUUUGUACACACCGCCCGUCGCUACUACCGAUCGAGUGAUUUAGUGAGGACUUCGGACUGGUCUUCAAGUUGGCUUCGGUCGGCUCGAAGUUCCGGAAAGAUGCCCAAACUUGAUCACUUAGA
rnacentral:rRNA from 1 species